UUUUCUUUUCUUUUUUCUCAGUAAUUACACUAUUGGUUCAUCACAGCCUCAACCAACCAUUACAAAGUUCAUUCAGCACAAACUGGAAGAAAAAGAGGAGGAAAGAAAUGAAAACAUAGGACAAAAUGAUCUUCUUGCACGAUGCAGAAUAAUUUGCUAUGCAGAAUAAUUUGCUAUCUCCAAUACAAAAACAGCAUCACAGGCUACAUUCAUUGACAAGAGUCACCACAACAUUCAUAUCGGUCAGGUUGAAGAAAUACUUGGAGAUGAGGCAUGUUGAUGGAAAGCUGGCCUUCGAGAAGCUUAUCUGCUUUGCUUGCAUUUGGCCCUUGAAAAAUGGAUAUAUUCAAGAAAUUCAGAAGACCAGAUUUUAAAAACUCCUAGAGACACAGAUUUCGAAACUUAAAGAAGUUGUGCUCCAAGGGACUGAACCAUAAUCUGGAUCAAUUUUCAGUGAGAUUAGUGGAACAACAAGCCACAAAACCUCAAAUUUUCAGGCCAACAUUUAUGAAACACUUCUCAUUAUUGUGUUCUAUUUAUAGCUUCAUUAAACUAUACUUACCAAGUUUGAUUUGAAGUUAUUAAUUCCAGUGAGAACUUCGUGUAACUUGUUUUAAUAAUGCAGCUAAAAAAUUCAAAAGCUGUACCAACCUCAAAGGCUGCGUACAUCUUCUGAAUUCUUUAACUGCAUGAUUAAAACAGGUUACACGAAUUUCUCCACCGGAAUCAAUAAAUUCAAACCAAACCAAAUCUGUAAAUUUCAACAAAACAUUUAAACUUCAGUUAUUCCAAUAACAUAUAACAAUAAUUCCCGCAGCAAAGCGCGGGCACUCUUUCUCGUUAUAACUAUACUAAAACCCAUUCAGCAAAAGGACA